rnacentral:rRNA from 1 species
CAAAAACAUGUCUUUUUGAGUAUAAUUUAAAGUCUGGCCUGCCCAAUGAGUAUUUGAAUGGCCGCGGUAUUUUGACCGUGCAAAGGUAGCAUAAUCAUUAGUUUUUUAAUUGAAAGCUGGUAUGAAUGGUCGGACGAGAAAAUGACUGUCUCAAUUUAAUUUUAAUUAGAACUUUAUUUUUAAGUAAAAAAGCUUAAAUGAUUUUAAAAGACGAGAAGACCCUAUAGAGUUUUAUAUUUAUUAGUAUAUUUAUAAUUUAGAAUGUUUUGAAUUUAUAUAUUAAUAAUUAUUUUGUUGGGGUGACAGGAAAAUUAGUGAAACUUUUUUUGUAUAUUUACAUUGAUUUAUGAGUAGUUGAUCCGUUAUUUACGAUUAAAAGAUUAAAUUACCUUAGGGAUAACAGCGUAAUUUUUUUUGAGAGUUCUUAUCGAAAAAAGAGUUUGCGACCUCGAUGUUGGAUUAAAAUUAACUUUUGGUGUAGAAGCUAAAAGGUUAGGUCUGUUCGACCUUUAAAAUUUUACAUGAUCUGA